UACAGAGGUCCCGAGCGUUGUUCGGAUUCACUGGGCGUAAAGGGUGCGUAGGCGGUCGGGUAAGUCUGAUGUGAAAUCUCGCAGCUUAACUGUGAAACUGCAUUGGAUACUAUUCGGCUUGAGAGGUUGGAGGGGGACUGGAAUUCUUGGUGUAGCAGUGAAAUGCGUAGAUAUCAAGAGAACACCAGUGGCGAAGGCGAGUCCCUGGACAACUCUGACGCUGAGGCACGAAAGCUAGGGGAGCAAACAGGAUUAGA
rnacentral:rRNA from 1 species